UUAUAUGUCAAAUAGAGUAUAGUAGACGUAGGCGGAUUUAUCAUGAGCGGUGAAUGCUUAAUAUGCUAAAGAAACUGAUAGCGAGGCAGCUUACUAAAUAUAAUGACGCUAUGCACGAAGCGUGGGGAUCAUCAGGAUAAAUACCCUGGUAGUCACGCUGUAUCGAUGAUAACUGGCUUUUGGCGAUACACAGUCCGAGCUGACAGAAAUCAAUAAUUAUCCACCUGGGGAGUACGACGCAACGUUGAAACUCAAAGGAUUGACUGGGGCCCGCACAAGCGGAGGAGCAUGUGGUUUAAUUCGAUGAUACCCGAGGAAACUUACCCGGGCUUAAAUUGCAUAUGCUGUAUGUUGAAAGGCAUAUUUCUACGGACAUCUGUGAAAGUGCUGCAUGGUUGUCGUCAGCUCGUGCCGUGAGGUGUCGGGUUAAGUCCAUAACGAGCGCA
rnacentral:rRNA from 1 species